rnacentral:lncRNA from 1 species
CCUUCUCAUACUCCACUCGCUCAAGUUCAAGAGUGGAGUUUAGAGAGUUUCCUCCAACAUCAUCUGACCAAGUUUCAUGGCAAGGUAAGUCUAAAUGAGGUGAACAAGUGGUGAGAGAUACAGUGUGAUGAGACUAUAUGAGAAAGUGAAUGUUAUGUGUCGGGUGUUUGGAAAAAGAGGAGAUGUGUGUAUGGAGAAAAAAAAGAGAAACAAAAAGGUGGAACUGCUAACCUGUGUUGAGUUGCUUCAAACAAAAAAAAAAUUGAGGAGAAUACAGUAAGCGAGCUGGCUUACCCCACCACGUCCCAGAUCCGCGUGGGCUACUAGGUUAUACAGAUUGAACCUAAACGAAUUAACGAAUUCAAAAUCCUAAUUUAUUUUGUGUUUUUUUAAUGUGGUUUGUCAGGUAACUC